UGACAGUUUGAGACAUUUAGAAACAAAAUCACCACAUUGUGCAGUAAACUUGUCUCUCUCUCUUUUUUUUUUUUUUUUGAAAGGGCAGUAAACUUGUCUCUGAGUAGCCGAAACUUUUUUUUUGAUGUUGCUUCCCGUCAAAACUACCUCCAGGGACGAUUUCUUCUCCUCCUUAGGGUUUCUGAGGAUCGUCGUAGCAGUGACGAGGCGGUGUUCUUCGCACCACUCAGCGCUGGUGAGAGGGGAUGAAGAGAAGCUUGGGAUUCAGAAUUCUAGAUUCGGAACAACCUCACCUUGCCUUGUUACUUCACACUCUAUAGCUAAAGUAUGCCUAUUUAGGUGAAUUUUGAUUUGUCAAUACACUUCAUGCUUCAUAGAUGAAUGAUGAAUAUACAUGUUCCUUCAUGAUUAUGCAAUGUCAUUUCAUUGAGUCCUAUAAUCAGUUAAUGAAGCUAAUUCUAAUUUUCUGUUAAAUUUGAUUCAAUUAUACCUGGUUGAAUAGCAUAUAACCUUGUUUUGUUUAUAAUUCUUUGGUGUAUGGGUUCCAAGAAACAAGUGGAUUGCGGUAUGGAUUUGUAUUUUGGCUAAUUUAGUUUUUAUUUAAGGUUUUUCAAAUGUUCUAUACUGCAGUUCCGUCAAUUACUUGCAGAAUUACCAUCAGCCUUGCUUGCAUUGGGAAUGUCAGUCCUUUUGUUUGUGCUCUUUUAUUAAGUUUACUUUCUUUACACUUGCAGAAUAUGGAGACGUGUUUCUAUUUUUUUCUUUUAUUUGGUGAGGUUAUCUGAGUUUUAUAUUAAUCUUGACAUUUCUUGUCUUGCACUUGCCAAUUUUUCUAUGUGAAAACAAGGUUGAUGUCAAGAACAGAUAAGUUAUAGCAAAACAGGUGACAUUUUGCUUUUCAUUUUGAAGUCAAAAGUCUUCAUUUAUUAUGCACAGUAAUAUCCUAUAUGCUAAUUUGUCGUCAUCGUCUCAAUCUAUUUUAAAUUGAGACCAUUAGUGUCAUGUUAACAUAUCAGUUUAACUUACCCAUUGUAGGUGUAUGGUUUUCUAAUUGCAAGACUAAUAAAAAAGCAAGCAUCACUUUUGUUCUUAGAGAGAUGGAUUUAUAUGAAGCCAAUGGAAUGCUGCAACAUACAUUGGAUAUAAUUUUUCUUCUUGGGAGCAUCUUCAUAUGAUGAUCUCCAUGGUACUUCAGUUGCUUGAUGGCAUGCGAAAUUUGAGAGUGAAUAGCUGUGUGAGGCAAGUGAUGCAGAUAUCAAUUUCAACGUGAGCGAUUAUGAUGAAGAUAUAAAACAGAUGAGUAAUUUCAUGAAGGAAGAGUUUGUGCAUAUUCUGCGGCGGCAGAGCACGGGUUUCUCAAGGGGGAGCUCCAGAUACAGGGGAGUUACUCUCCAUAAAUGGGGGCGAUGGGAAGCUCGUAUGGGGCAGUUUCUUUGGAAGAAGUAUAUAUAUCUUUGGGCUAUUUGAUAGUGAACUAGAGGCUGCAAUGACCAACCCCCUACUACCAACUUAGAUUGUUCAUUGUAGCAUGUUUUCCUUAUCUCAUAGCUGCUUGAAUGAGAAAAUAGUUAUGCAAUAAUUUGAUAAUGCUGCACCAUAGCUCAUGAAAAUGGUUCUACUUCUAUUCAUAUUACUCUAAGGUUGUGGAUUUUCGACACUAACUUUGGACAUUAUUGUAGAAAUGUAUGUUGACAUUAUUCCAUUGAUAAUAGUGUUAUGGUAAGCUGGAGAAGUGUAUAAAUGGAUUGAAUUGAAUUCAUGUUGAAGUCUGCAAUUUCAAAAGUCCCUGAGAUUUUUCAUAUGUUUCUUUGUUGGCAGUAGUUGCAUCUCUAGUACUAAUUUUCAUUUUUUCUUAAUAGUUUGAGCAUUCUGGAUCAAGAUCACUGAGUGUUCAACCAUCUUAUGGUUUCUCCAUGGCAUCUGAGCAUCAGCCUUCAGGCUGGAGUGGUGCCAAUUUCUUUCCGAUCAACAAUGAUACCAUCAGCAGCUGCUGGUUCACUUAGUCUCAAAUGUUUGCUACAUUCCAGUUGAAGGAUUGGAGCUGCAAUAGCAAAGAACUCCUCUUGUUGGCUCUCUUGAGAACUACCUGUAAUGUUUGCUCCUUAAAGAUCAGUUAGAGAGACCAUAAGAAGUCAAAAUGUUGCAGGUAUAUUGUUUUUCACCUAAAGUUGAUCAAUUACUUUGUAUUUCUUCCUUUGAUUGCAGCUCUCGAGAAGCAUUGAUGUAAGCAUUGAUGUACGCAACUCUUUGUUGGUCUAUUAAAUUUAGUUAGCUAGUAUGAGUGUGAUUCACUUAGCUUUCAAGAACCUAAGUAGUUCUAGUUCUGGUGUUAUUUGUUCUUUAAUUUUCCAAAUCCAAUCUUGUCUUUCAUACUAAUGACUGAUGCAGAGAAAUAAUGAUAGUUGCAUAUUCUCUUAUGAAACAACUCCUUGUCCUUUCAGAUUCAAGAGACACUGAUAUUUAUGUUUCUUGAGAGGUUAAUUUCACUUUCAUUGACAGCUUUGUAGCUGUCUGUUGAUGUUGGGUAAGUAAGAAUUAAACAAAGCUUUGUAUUGUGGUGUAGUGAAAGUGUGAGACUUAUCCCCAAAUCAUUAUGUAAUUCUGAACAUUAAGUGGCUUUAAGACUAUUAUUGGUAGAA